AGAGUGAACGCUGGCGGCAGGCCUAACACAUGCAAGUCGAACGGCAGCACAGUAAGAGCUUGCUCUUAUGGGUGGCGAGUGGCGGACGGGUGAGGAAUACAUCGGAAUCUGCCUAUUUGUGGGGGAUAACGUAGGGAAACUUACACUAAUACCGCAUACGACCUACGGGUGAAAGCGGAGGACCUUCGGGCUUCGCGCAGAUAGAUGAGCCGAUGUCGGAUUAGCUAGUUGGUGGGGUAAAGGCCCACCAAGGCGACGAUCCGUAGCUGGUCUGAGAGGAUGAUCAGCCACACUGGAACUGAGACACGGUCCAGACUCCUACGGGAGGCAGCAGUGGGGAAUAUUGGACAAUGGGCGCAAGCCUGAUCCAGCCAUGCCGCGUGAGUGAAGAAGGCCCUUGGUUGUAAAGCUUCUUUUGUGGGAAGAAAGCAAGUCGGUUAAUACCCGGUUGUUCUGUACGUACCCAAAGAAUAAGCACCGGCUAACUCGUGCCAGCACG
rnacentral:rRNA from 1 species